GUCGGGGUAACACAGUGGCUAUGUGGCGGACUGCAGAUCCGCAUACGGGGGUUCGAUCCCCUCUCCCGAUCCCA
rnacentral:tRNA from 1 species